rnacentral:rRNA from 1 species
CGCGUAGGCGGACUCGUAAGUCGGGAGUGAAAACUCGGGGCUCAACCCCGAGCCUGCUUCUGAAACUGCGAGUCUUGAGGACCGGAGAGGAAAGUGGAAUUCCUAGUGUAGCGGUGGAAUGCGUAGAUAUUAGGAAGAACACCAGUGGCGAAGGCGACUUUCUGGACGGUUCCUGACGCUGAGGCGCGAAAGCUAGGGGAAGCAAACAG